AAGCACGCUGCCCGUGUAGGUUGGUUCCUGACUCCCGACCCUGACCUUUUCUUCCCUCAUCCAAGGAAACCCUUGUCUCCAUCCCUCCCACUCAUUUCAUCUUCAGGGCCCUUAUCUCCUCCUCAAAUUAUAAAUUUGUUCCAAAUCUCUUUCUCACUGAACUGUAAGCAACAAGAGGCCAGGCUCCCGUCUUCAUUUGCUCACUCUACUUUUUUUCACUUUUUCCAAGGCCCCGCAUAAUGACUGGAAAAGGACAGUUGUUAGAGAAACAAACAAGCAAGCAAACUACUAGAAAACUCCCUGUAUUUUCAACUUUCAUUACUGACUGUACUUUUUUUCAAGUACCAACAAUCAAGAUAUUUAGAUUGCAUGGAGGAACAAAAGUUUAAUUCCUCGUUUAAAAAAUUCCCUGUGUUGCAUUAAUUAGGAAUGUGGCAGCAAUAUGUUUUCUUCUAGUUCAUUUUUUUUCCUCGAGACAGACAUAUUUCAGUUAUGUACUGUGGCCAUCCAGUUUUUUGUGAGCUACUUGGAGUGUAACCGCUGUCUCUAACAUCAUUUUGAUGUCAAAAGGGAACUUACUGAGCCUGGCAUCGUUCUAAAUACUUUUGCAUAUUUAAAGCUAUUCCGUCUUCACAUAGCUAUGUAAAAUUGAUAUUUUUAAUUAUAAUUUUGCGGAAAAAGAAAUUAGAGGGGAAAUUAGAGAAGAUCAGAGAAGUUAAGUAGCUUGCCAAAGUCACACAGCUAGUGAAUAAAAUUAUUAGGAAGCUCUGUAUAACUCUAAAGCCCAUGCUUUCUCUGUCGUAUGAACUGACUUACAAGUAAAUAUUUUGAGACGGAGAAAAGAAGACCUCCUAAUUAAGUUCUAUUUUGGAUUAGUGGGAUCAACCUUCUGAGGAAACCAACAGUAAAAGUUGGACAAAAUCGUCGAUAAUGGAACUAAAACUUUUGUUCAGCAGAUUGGCCACCAGUUUUCACUGACAAAAUCCCACGUAGUUUUGGUGUGGAUGUAGCGACCGACUGUGUUUAACCAAAGAUAUGCCAAUCUGCUGUAAGUUUACUCACCAAUCAAAGCCAACGAUUCAAACCUGAUGACACGGAUGGUCAAAGGCUGGGAGCCAAGGCUGGCGGGCAGGUGUCUGAGGGAGCCUCUAGGCUCCGCAGAGGUGUGGAGCAGAGCCCCUGCUAGAUAUCACCCUGUGAUGACCCUGAGUAUUAGGGGCUGGGAAACUUGUCAAAAAAUAUGGAACUCUUAUGAAAGCAAUUCAGCCACUCCAGUUGAAUGGCAUCGUCUCUGCAGAGGGGCAUGUUUGCUUGACCACCAACCAUACGGCGGCUCUCAUCUCACAGUUUGCACACGGACGGUAUGAGGACUUCCUUCAUCAUUUCUUGUAAGAGAGGUCUAGAGGUGAUGAAUUCCUUCAGCUUUUGUUUAUAUGGGAAAGCUUUUAUUUCUCUGUCAUAUUUAAGUGCUUCUCCCUGCAGGGGCGUUAUAAAUCUCUGCCCUGAUGAACUCAGUGUGGCCAAUGGAAGGCGAGUAGAAGGCCAAGUUGCGUAUUGGCAGACAUUGUAAGAGCCAGAAUUUGCUACCCAUGUUCUCUUCCCUGCUGCCUUGAUCUUAGAAGAAUGUGUUGUGAUGUGGAGCCUUCAUUAACCUAAAUCUCUGAAUGACUACAGUGAACAGAGCCUGCUUGCCCACCCAUCCUUAAGGCACAUGGUGAGUGGGCAGAAAAUGAUCUUGGUUAUCUUGAGCCAAUGAUUUUUGAGGGUUAUUUGUUACCACAGCAUAAUCAAGCCUAUCCUAACUGACACGUGGGACCUAGUGUGGCAGUUCCCAAAGAGCUCUGAGAAUAACUCCUGAGAACCAGCUUUAAACAUCUACCAACCCCAGAGAACGAGGCCAGGUACCAGCCACGUUAGAAUUCCCGUCUCCUAUUCUUUCAUCACCCCUCUUCUGCCUCCAUCCUGGAAAAUCUUGGCUGGAAAGAGGGAAAUGAUGGACAUUAAAGAUGUGACUAUUUUGCAUUAUUAUCUAAGACUGUAUAAUCUAACUAUUGUGUUGGCAACUUAAUGUGAUCACAGGGCAAUUUGCAAGGCACCAGAAAAAAUAUGACACUGCCAGUGUUGAUCCAGUGGUGAGACAAAAAAAUUGUCCCUACUCACCUCAUCUCCGCCAAUUAAAAAACAAAGCUAAACUAAGCAAAUAAAAACAAAACAACCCAAAACUUUCCUCCAUGGAGCAGGAUUAUAGGAGAGUGGGAAACCAUAAAAAAUGAGACUCUUAAACACAUUUUAUGCCUUGUGCUUGUUUAACAUACCAGCUACAUAAAUAAAUCGAGAGAGUAGAUUUUAAGAUAAAGUUUUAAAUUGACUUCAGAACUAAAGUGUAUUUUUAAAUGCAAAUGAAUGGAUGGCACUUCUAUCUUGCAUUUAUAUAUAAAAACAAAAUUAGACAUUAAAGUUUAAACACUAA
ensembl:lncRNA